rnacentral:rRNA from 1 species
UUCCGGUUGAUCCUGCCGGAGGCUACUGCCAUCAGAGUUCGAUUAAGCCAUGUUAGUCGAGGGUACCUCUUCUUCUUCGGAGGAUGAGGUAACCCGGCGGACGGCUCAGUAACACGUGGAUAACUUGCCCUUGGGUCUGGGAUAACCCCUGGGAAACUGGGGCUAAUACCGGAUAGAGCAUCGAUCGCUGGAAUGCCUGAUGCUCGAAAACUACGGUGCCCAAGGAUAGGUCUGCGGCUGAUUAGGUUGUUGUUGAUGUAAUGGACCAACAAGCCUACGAUCGGUACGGGUUGUGAGAGCAAUAGCCCGGAGAUGGGUUCUGAGAAAAGAACCCCAGGUCCUACGGGACGCAUCAGGCGCGAAAACUUUACAAUGUGCGAAAGCACGAUAAGGGAACUCUGAGUGCCCUCUAAGGGGGCUGUUCUAGUGUCUAAAAAGCAAUAGAAGUAAGGGCUGGGCAAGACCGGUGCCAGCCGCCCGCGGUAACACCGGCAGCCCAAGUGGUAGCCACGCUUAUUGGGUCUAAAGCGUUCGUAGCCGGCUUGGUAAGUUCCUUGGUAAAUUUAGCCGCUUAACGGUUAAGCUUUCAGGGAAUACUGCUUGGCUUGGGACUGGGAGAGGCCAGAGGUACUCCAGGGGUAGGGGUGAAAUCCAUUAAUCCUUGGGGGACCACCGGUAGCGAAGGCGUCCGACCAGACCCAGCUCCGACGGUGAAGGGACGAAGGCUAAGGGGCGCGAACCGGAAUUAGAUACCCCGGGUAGUCCUAGCUGUAAACGAUGCGGGCUAGGUGUUGGCAUUACUGCGAGUGGUGCCAGUGCCGAAGGGAAGCCGUUAAGCUCGCCAUCUGGGGAGUACGGUCGCAAGGCUUAAACUUAAAGGAAUUGGCGGGGGAGCACCACAACGGGUGGAGCCUGCGGUUCAAUUGGAUUCAACGCCGGAAAACUUACCAGGGGAGACAGCAGUAUGACGGUCAGGUUGACGACCUUACCCGACGAGCUGAGAGGAGGUGCAUGGCCGUCGCCAGUUCGUGCCGUGAGGUAUCCUGUUAAGUCAGGCAACGAACGAGAUCCGCACCUUUAUUUGCCAACAAGAAGUCACGACUUCGUUGGGAACACUAAAGGGACCGCCGUCGAUAAGACGGAGGAAGGAGCGGGCAAAGGCAGGUCAGUAUGCCCCGAAACCCCUGGGCUACACGCGGGCUGCAAUGGUAUGAACAAUGGGCUGUGACUCCGAAAGGAGAAACCAAUCCCGAAAUCAUAUCUCAGUUGGAAUUGUCGGCUGUAACCCGCCGACAUGAACGUGGAAUCCCUAGUAAUCGUGUGUCAUCAUCGCACGGUGAAUACGUCUCUGCUCCUUGUACACACCGCCCGUC